rnacentral:misc_RNA from 1 species
GCCAUUUCCCCCGAAGUCUUAGAAACUAUCUUUCCAAAGCCACCGGCACUUUCAUUAUUCGUAGUGGUAGUAGCAGCUUGAGGCUUUGGCGCCUUUGCCUCUCUUUCUUCCACGAUCAAUUUUCUAACAUUCAUUACCUUCUCCACUAUUCUACUUCCAACAAUUUGAGUUCCGUUAUUAUUCCCCAAUUGAAUUUUGCCUUUUUGAGUUAUAAAAUUUCCUUCACUUUCUUUUCGACCCCUCGCCACGCUUGGUGAGCAGGAUUGCCUCCUUGAUCUCAUAGUGGGCUCUGGUUUUUGAUCUACGGAUUGCGUUACGUUGCUGACUACAGGUCGGCCUCGGGUAGCAGAAAUUGCACGAUCUGUCCUUAAAUUGGGAGGCGUCUCAUUGGAAAAUCCAGGAAUUUGAUUUGGAAUUGUUGACGUCAAACAAGGUGAAACACGACCUCUACUUCUAGGCUUUGUUUUAUUAGAAUCAGGUCCUGUGAGUGUGAUAUUCUUGGCCAGGAAAUUUGUCUGAGUUUCUUUUUGGUUGAUAGGUUUUGGUGUGCUUGUAACCAUAUUUGUUCGUUUAUUCUGGCCGGUGGUUAAUUGCGUCAUUUUUUGGUUCAAAAGUAGUGGUGUCAAUUUGACAUUCCUGCUUGCAG